rnacentral:rRNA from 1 species
AUUGAACGCUGGCGGCAUGCCUUACACAUGCAAGUCGAACGGUAACGGGCCUUCGGGCGCCGACGAGUGGCGAACGGGCGAGUAAUACAUCGGAACGUGCCCGAUCGUGGGGGAUAACGAGGCGAAAGCUUUGCUAAUACCGCAUACGAUCUACGGAUGAAAGCAGGGGACCGCAAGGCCUUGCGCGGACGGAGCGGCAGAUGGCAGAUUAGGUAGUUGGUGGGAUAAAAGCUUACCAAGCCGACGAUCUGUAGCUGGUCUGAGAGGAUGAUCAGCCACACUGGGACUGAGACACGGCCCAGACUCCUACGGGAGGCAGCAGUGGGGAAUUUUGGACAAUGGGCGCAAGCCUGAUCCAGCCAUGCCGCGUGCAGGAUGAAGGCCUUCGGGUUGUAAACUGCUUUUGUACGGAACGAAAAGCCUUCUUUUAAUACAGGAGGGUCAUGACGGUACCGUAAGAAUAAGCACCGGCUAACUACGUG